GUGGGUUAUGGUGAUAUGCGUCCUGUGACCGUGUGUGGAAAAUUGAUUGGCUCUUUGUGUGCUAUCGCUGGUGUAUUAACAAUCGCAUUACCUGUACCGGUUAUUGUAUCAAAC
rfam:Trichobilharzia regenti genome assembly, scaffold: TRE_scaffold0000046